ACAGUGACAGCACCCAAGGGAAUGGCCUGACGUUGUGUCAGGGGAGGUUAAGGUUGGAUAUUAGGAAAAGGUUCUUCACCCAGAGGGUGGUUUGGCAUUGGAACAGGUUCCCUAGAGAAAUGGUCACAGCACCAGCCUGACAGAGUUCAAGAAGUAUUUGGACAACACUGUUAGGUAUGUUAUGGAAUUCUUGAGGUUGUCCAGUGCAGGGCCAGAAGUUGCACUUUGAGGAUCCUUGUGAGAAACUUCCAACUCAGGAUAUUCUAUUACUCAAGGAAAAGUCUUCUGAAGAACCUGAAUGAUUUUGGGACACUGGUCUAACAGCAGACUAAGUCACAGGUAGAGCUGCAACCCCAAGCUACUAUUCUUAAGAAGUAAAAAUUGAGGAACUAUUGGCCUUGCAACCACCCACCACCUGACUGCUGUCAGCUUCCCUACAUGCAAGGUCACUGCCUUUUCACAAAAACCUCCUCUGGGGCUUCUCAUUUUUUUGACUCUCAAGCAGAGCUUAGUUGCCUGGUCUGUGUGGUAGUUUUCAGAUGUUUUGGAACAGAGGUGUAAGUAAAAUGCCAAGUGUUUAGCAAAUCUUUCUAUGGAGAUAGCUGGACUUGACACCUCUUGCAGAGCUCUGGGAAAGGGAAGGAACAGCCCCAGUACAGAGGGGCAGGCAGCUCUUCCUGGACUGGAAAUAGGGAAAAUCACGGAAUGACACUUCAGUUGCAAGUAAAAAUGAAGUUUGUUUUUUUUUUUUAAUACAAUGUGGUAAGUUUCCUUUUUCUGCCACACAAGAAAGAGAUUUCAAAAGCACAUGGAGCUAAUAUGUCUGGGCACAUGUUAAACUGGUAGAAAUAAUUUCUUUACUUUUGUAGGGCAAAAUAAAGCACAACUGCUGCUUGAAAGAAGAGCUGGUUGAAGAUUGCACCCAUCCUGCAAUACAACACAGGAAGCAUCAUCCGAUCAUGAUGGCAAGCUCUGACAAGGGAGUGGAUGGAGGUUUGCCCAUCUGCAGGUUCCAUGACUGUUUGGAAACAGAUGAGCAAGCUACCUCUGAUCCAUAAAGGCAACUUUGGAAAAUCCCUUUGGUCUUCCAUUGUAUCACAGUCUACAUCACAAAAUUAAAUCAAGUAAGUAAAAUCAUUGGUGUGUUUCCUUGGGGACAUCAUUAAGUGUUCUGCUGAAAGGAGGAGUGCUUGUCAUUUCUGAUGCAAAAUAAAGUUAGUUAAGUGACUUGCCUAAACUCCCAUUUUGAAGCAGUGUUAGAGCUAGGAUUAGGAUCAAUCACCUGAGUCCCAAUAACAA